GUUGUAUGGUUAAGUGACUAAGCGUACACGGUGGAUGCCUUGGCAGUCAGAGGCGAUGAAAGACGUAGUAACUUGCGAUAAGCCCAGAUUAGGUAGUAACAACCAUUUGAGUCUGGGAUUUCUGAAUGGGGAAACCCACGUGCAUAAGCACGUAUCCUUACCUGAAUACAUAGGGUAAGGAGGCGAACCGGGGGAACUGAAACAUCUAAGUACCCCGAGGAAAAGAAAUCAACCGAGAUUCCGAAAGUAGCGGCGAGCGAAAUUGGACUAGCCCUUAAGCUUUACACGCGUUAGACGAACGGUCUGGAAAGUCCGACGAUACAGGGUGAUAGUCCCGUAGUUGACGACGUGUGUUCAGUGAAAUCGAGUAGGGCGGGACACGUGAUAUCCUGUCUGAAUAUGGGGGGACCAUCCUCCAAGGCUAAAUACUACUGACUGACCGAUAGUGAACCAGUACCGUGAGGGAAAGGCGAAAAGAACCCCUGUGAGGGGAGUGAAAUAGAACCUGAAACCGUGUACGUACAAGCAGUAGGAGCAGGCUUUGUCCUGUGACUGCGUACCUUUUGUAUAAUGGGUCAGCGACUUAUAUUCAGUGGCAAGGUUAACCAUCUAGGGGAGCCGUAGGGAAACCGAGUCUUAACUGGGCGUUCAGUCUCUGGAUAUAGACCCGAAACCAGGUGAUCUAGCCAUGGGCAGGUUGAAGGUUGAGUAACAUCAACUGGAGGACCGAACCGACUAAUGUUGAAAAAUUAGCGGAUGACUUGUGGCUAGGGGUGAAAGGCCAAUCAAACCUGGAGAUAGCUGGUUCUCCCCGAAAGCUAUUUAGGUAGCGCCUCGGACGAAUACUACUGGGGGUAGAGCACUGUUAAGGCUAGGGGGUCAUCCCGACUUACCAACCCUUUGCAAACUCCGAAUACCAGUAAGUACUAUCCGGGAGACACACGGCGGGUGCUAACGUCCGUCGUGGAGAGGGAAACAACCCAGACCGCCAGCUAAGGUCCCAAAUUACUACUAAGUGGGAAACGAUGUGGGAAGGCUCAGACAGCCAGGAUGUUGGCUUAGAAGCAGCCAUCAUUUAAAGAAAGCGUAAUAGCUCACUGGUCGAGUCGGCCUGCGCGGAAGAUGUAACGGGGCUAAGUAGUAAACCGAAGCUGCGGCAAUAUACUUUUGUAUAUUGGGUAGGGGAGCGUUCUGUAAGCGGUUGAAGGUGUGUGGUAACGCAUGCUGGACGUAUCAGAAGUGCGAAUGCUGACAUGAGUAACGAUAAAGGGGGUGAAAAACCUCCUCGCCGGAAGACCAAGGGUUCCUGUCCAACGUUAAUCGGGGCAGGGUAAGUCGACCCCUAAGGCGAGGCCGAAAGGCGUAGUCGAUGGGAAACGGGUUAAUAUUCCCGUACUUCUUACAAUUGCGAUGGGGGGACGGAGAAGGCUAGGUGGGCCUGGCGACGGUUGUCCAGGUUCAAGUGCGUAGGCUUAAGAGUUAGGUAAAUCCGGCUCUUUCUAAGGCUGAGACACGACGUCGAGCCACUACGGUGGUGAAGUCAUUGAUGCCAUGCUUCCAGGAAAAGCCUCUAAGCUUCAGAUUGUAAGGAAUCGUACCCCAAACCGACACAGGUGGUCGGGUAGAGAAUACCAAGGCGCUUGAGAGAACUCGGGUGAAGGAACUAGGCAAAAUGGUACCGUAACUUCGGGAGAAGGUACGCUCUUGAUGGUGAAGUCCCUUGCGGAUGGAGCUGACGAGAGUCGCAGAUACCAGGUGGCUGCAACUGUUUAUUAAAAACACAGCACUGUGCAAAAUCGUAAGAUGACGUAUACGGUGUGACGCCUGCCCGGUGCCGGAAGGUUAAUUGAUGGGGUUAGACUUCGGUCGAAGCUCUUGAUCGAAGCCCCGGUAAACGGCGGCCGUAACUAUAACGGUCCUAAGGUAGCGAAAUUCCUUGUCGGGUAAGUUCCGACCUGCACGAAUGGCGUAAUGAUGGCCACGCUGUCUCCACCCGAGACUCAGUGAAAUUGAAAUCGCUGUGAAGAUGCAGUGUACCCGCGGCUAGACGGAAAGACCCCGUGAACCUUUACUACAGCUUGGCACUGAACAUUGACCCUACAUGUGUAGGAUAGGUGGGAGGCUUUGAAGCACGUACGCCAGUAUGUGUGGAGCCGUCCUUGAAAUACCACCCUUGUAGUGUUGAUGUUCUAACGUCGACCCCUUAUCGGGGUUGCGGACAGUGCCUGGUGGGUAGUUUGACUGGGGCGGUCUCCUCCCAAAGAGUAACGGAGGAGCACGAAGGUGGGCUAAUCACGGUUGGACAUCGUGAGGUUAGUGCAAUGGCAUAAGCCCGCUUGACUGCGAGAAUGACAAUUCGAGCAGGUGCGAAAGCAGGUCAUAGUGAUCCGGUGGUUCUGAAUGGAAGGGCCAUCGCUCAACGGAUAAAAGGUACUCCGGGGAUAACAGGCUGAUACCGCCCAAGAGUUCAUAUCGACGGCGGUGUUUGGCACCUCGAUGUCGGCUCAUCACAUCCUGGGGCUGAAGUCGGUCCCAAGGGUAUGGCUGUUCGCCAUUUAAAGUGGUACGCGAGCUGGGUUUAGAACGUCGUGAGACAGUUCGGUCCCUAUCUGCCGUGGGCGUUGGAAGAUUGAAGGGGGCUGCUCCUAGUACGAGAGGACCGGAGUGGACGAACCUCUGGUGUUCGGGUUGUGUCGCCAGACGCAUUGCCCGGUAGCUAAGUUCGGAAUCGAUAACCGCUGAAAGCAUCUAAGCGGGAAGCGAGCCCUGAGAUGAGUCUUCCCUGAUACUUUAAGUAUCCUAAAGGGUUGUCGGAGACUACGACGUUGAUAGGUCAGGUGUGUAAGUGCUGUGAGGCAUUGAGCUAACUGAUACUAAUUGCCCGUGAGGCUUAACCAUACAACACCCAAGGGGUUU
rnacentral:rRNA from 1 species